rnacentral:rRNA from 1 species
GACGAACGCUGGCGGCGUGCCUAAUACAUGCAAGUCGAACGCUUCUUUCCUCCCGAGUGCUUGCACUCAAUUGGAAAGAGGAGUGGCGGACGGGUGAGUAACACGUGGGUAACCUACCCAUCAGAGGGGGAUAACACUUGGAAACAGGUGCUAAUACCGCAUAACAGUUUAUGCCGCAUGGCAUAAGAGUGAAAGGCGCUUUCGGGUGUCGCUGAUGGAUGGACCCGCGGUGCAUUAGCUAGUUGGCGAGGUAACGGCUCACCAAGGCCACGAUGCAUAGCCGACCUGAGAGGGUGAUCGGCCACACUGGGACUGAGACACGGCCCAGACUCCUACGGGAGGCAGCAGUAGGGAAUCUUCGGCAAUGGACGAAAGUCUGACCGAGCAACGCCGCGUGAGUGAAGAAGGUUUUCGGAUCGUAAAACUCUGUUGUUAGAGAAGAACAAGGACGUUAGUAACUGAACGUCCCCUGACGGUAUCUAACCAGAAAGCCACGGCUAACUACGUG